rnacentral:rRNA from 1 species
UACGGAGGGGCUGAGCGUUAUUCGGUGAAUUACUGGGCGUAAAGCGCACGUAGGCGGCUUUGUAAGUCAGAGGUGAAAGCCUGGAGCUCAACUCCAGAACUGCCUUUGAGACUGCAUCGCUUGAAUCCAGGAGAGGUGAGUGGAAUUCCGAGUGUAGAGGUGAAAUUCGUAGAUAUUCGGAAGAACACCAGUGGCGAAGGCGGCUCACUGGACUGGUAUUGACGCUGAGGUGCGAAAGCGUGGGGAGCAAACAGG